rnacentral:rRNA from 1 species
AUUGAACGCUGGCGGCAGGCCUAACACAUGCAAGUCGAACGAGUGGCGGACGGGUGAGUAAUGUCUGGGAAACUGCCCGAUGGAGGGGGAUAACUACUGGAAACGGUAGCUAAUACCGCAUACCAUCGGAUGUGCCCAGAUGGGAUUAGCUAGUAGGUGGGGUAACGGCUCACCUAGGCGACGAUCCCUAGCUGGUCUGAGAGGAUGACCAGCGACACUGGAACAGAGACACGGUCCAGACGACUACGGGAGGCAGCAGUGGGGAAUAUUGCACAAUGGGCCCAAGCCUGAUGCAGCCAUGCCGCGUGUAUGAAGAAGGCCUUCGGGUUGUACAGUACUUUCAGCGAGGAGGCGGUACUCGCAGCAGAAGCACCGGCUAACUCCGUGCCAGCAGCCGCGGGAAUUC